GACGAACGCUGGCGGCGUGCUUAACACAUGCAAGUCGUACGAUGACCCGGCUCUUCGGAGCUGGUGAUUAGUGGCGAACGGGUGAGUAACACGUGGGUGACCUGCCCUGCACUCUGGGAUAAGCCCGGGAAACUGGGUCUAAUACUGGAUACGACAGUGGCCGCCUGGUCUGCUGGUGGAAAGCCCUUCGGGGUGGUGUGGGAUGGGCCCGCGGCCUAUCAGCUUGUUGGUGGGGUGAUGGCCUACCAAGGCGACGACGGGUAGCCGGCCUGAGAGGGUGUCCGGCCACACUGGGACUGAGACACGGCCCAGACUCCUACGGGAGGCAGCAGUGGGGAAUCUUGCACAAUGGGCGAAAGCCUGAUGCAGCGACGCCGCGUGAGGGAUGACGGCCUUCGGGUGGUAAACCUCUUUCGGCAGGGAACAAGCCUGGGGGUUGUCUUCUGGGUGAGGGUACCUGCGGAAGAAGCACCGGCUAACUACGUG
rnacentral:rRNA from 1 species